CUCUUUCGGCCGGAACGGAAAUCGCCGUACGUGAAUAACGGUGCGUGGAUGACGGUACUGGAAGAAGAAGCACCGGAUAACUACGUGCCAGCAGCCGCGGUAAUACGUAGGUGCGAGCGUUACAUCGGAAUUACUGGGCGUAAAGCGUG
rnacentral:rRNA from 1 species